AACGAACGCUGGCGGCGUGGAUAAGACAUGCAAGUCGAACGGGACAGACCGAGUAGCAAUAUUUGGAAUGUUCAGUGGCGAACGGGUGCGUAACACGUGGAUAACAUUCCGGAAAGCGGGGAAUAGCCCAGGGAAACUUGGAUUAAUACCGCAUGUGGCCGCAAGGCUAAAGACGGGGACCGCAAGGCCUGUCACUUUCCGAUUGGUCCGCGGCCUAUCAGCUAGUUGGCGGGGUAAUGGCCCACCAAGGCUACGACGGGUAGCUGGUCUUAGAGGACGACCAGCCACACUGGAACUGAGACACGGUCCAGACACCUACGGGUGGCAGCAGUCGAGAAUCUUUCACAAUGGGGGCAACCCUGAUGGAGCGACGCCGCGUGGAGGAUAAGGUCUUCGGAUUGUAAACUCCUGUCGUGCGAGAACAAGGUACUCAGGCUAAUAACCUGAUUGUUUGAUGGUACCGCAAGAGGGAGAGACGGCUAACUCCGUGCCAGCCGCCGCAGUAACAC
rnacentral:rRNA from 1 species